rnacentral:misc_RNA from 1 species
UUGAGUUCUGCGGGCUUGCUG